rnacentral:rRNA from 1 species
ACGAAGGGUGCAAGCGUUACUCGGAAUUACUGGGCGUAAAGCGUGCGUAGGUGGUUCGUUAAGUCUGAUGUGAAAGCCCUGGGCUCAACCUGGGAAUGGCAUUGGAUACUGGCGACCUAGAGUGCGGUAGAGGGUGGCGGAAUUCCCGGUGUAGCAGUGAAAUGCGUAGAUAUCGGGAGGAACACCAGUGGCGAAAGCGGCGCUCUGGGCCUAAACUGACGCUGAGGGGCGAAAGCGUGGGGAGCGAACGGGA